GUCAUAUCUGUUCAGAAAACGAGUCCUCCAUGUUUCCAGGUAUUUCUGGGGAGACAGGCUGGUCAGGUUGGAGAAUGGCAGCAUCCCCAGCUGCUGUCCCCUGAGCACAGUGUCACCUCUCCCCACGUGCAGACCCAGCACGGAGCCGACCUCGCUAUUGCGACGUGGGCCUCAGUUCAAAGAAAAAGCAAAAGAAUUAAUGCCCAGGAGUGCAACUUCACUGAGUCCCUGUUGGAACCAGUAACCAGUGACAAGCCUUUGAGCAUUCAGUGUCAGCUCUGGAUGCUCAGCACCUUGCUGAGUGCCUUUGCAGAUUCCUUUUCUAUCUAAUUCUGGAAUGUUGUCAUAUUUAGGAAUGUCAUACUGGCCUUAAAUUAGGGUGAUGUGAAUCUGUAGCAGCUGGGUAAAUCGGUGUACUCAGUGUGCAUCAGGUUUAGAUCUUGAUCCGAUUCCUGAGCAAAGGGAAGAGGAACUUCCUCAGAACAUCAUCUGGCAGUGUCCCAGUGGAGAAUGGAGUUCAGCCCCAGAGCCUGUCACCUUCAUACUUCUGCGGCUGGUUCAGCAAGGGCUUGAGUGCUUAAACCCCGCAAGAAACAAUACGGAAUUGAAAACGGGUGAGUAAACAGGUGAGCAUCCUGAUCCCUAAACAUUUAAUUUGAUCUUCCAUACUUCAUGGAAAAGACUGUUAACUAUUGUUUUCCUUUUACCUCUCUUACCUUUUUUUAUAAUAUAUAAAUGCCCAUCUUUUCUCCUAUCAACAGAAGAAUC
rnacentral:lncRNA from 1 species